rnacentral:rRNA from 1 species
AUACGUAGGUGGCAAGCGUUAUCCGGAUUUACUGGGUGUAAAGGGCGCGUAGGCGGGGGUGCAAGUCAGAUGUGAAAUCUAUGGGCUUAACUCAUAAACUGCAUUUGAAACUGUAUCUCUUGAGUGCUGGAGAGGUAGACGGAAUUCCUUGUGUAGCGGUGAAAUGCGUAGAUAUAAGGAAGAACACCAGUGGCGAAGGCGGUCUACUGGACAGUAACUGACGCUGAGGCGCGAAAGCGUGGGGAGCAAACAGGAUUAGAUACCCUGGUAGUCCACGCUGUAGACGAUGAAUACUAGGUGUGGGGGGACUGACCCCCUCCGUGCCGCAGUUAACACAAUAAGUAUUCCACCUGGGGAGUACGGCCGCAAGGUUGAAACUCAAAUGAAUUGACGGGG